rnacentral:rRNA from 1 species
UACGUAGGGGGCGAGCGUUGUCCGGAUUUAUUGGGCGUAAAGAGCGUGUAGGCGGCCAGGUAGGUCUGCUGUGAAAACUCGAGGCUCAACCUCGAGACGUCGGCGGAAACCAUCUGGCUAGAGUCCGGAAGAGGAGAGUGGAAUUCCUGGUGUAGCGGUGGAAUGCGCAGAUAUCAGGAGGAACACCAAUAGCGAAGGCAGCUCGCUGGGACGUUACUGACACUGAGGCGCGAAAGCGUGGGGAGCGAACAGG